rnacentral:rRNA from 1 species
UAUAAGACUGGGAUAACUUCGGGAAACCGGAGCUAAUGCCGGAUAACAUAUAGAACCGCAUGGUUCUAUAGUGAAAGAUGGUUUUGCUAUCACUUAUAGAUGGACCCGCGCCGUAUUAGCUAGUUGGUAAGGUAAUGGCUUACCAAGGCGACGAUACGUAGCCGACCUGAGAGGGUGAUCGGCCACACUGGAACUGAGACACGGUCCAGACUCCUACGGGAGGCAGCAGUAGGGAAUCUUCCGCAAUGGGCGAAAGCCUGACGGAGCAACGCCGCGUGAGUGAUGAAGGUUUUCGGAUCGUAAAACUCUGUUAUUAGGGAAGAACAAAUGCGUAAGUAACUGUGCGCAUCUUGACGGUACCUAAUCAGAAAGCCACGGCUAACUACGUGCCAGCAGCCGCGGUAAUACGUAGGUGGCAAGCGUUAUCCGGAAUUAUUGGGCGUAAAGCGCGCGUAGGCGGUUUCUUAAGUCUGAUGUGAAAGCCCACGGCUCAACCGUGGAGGGUCAUUGGAAACUGGGAAACUUGAGUGCAGAAGAGGAAAGUGGAAUUCCAUGUGUAGCGGUGAAAUGCGCAGAGAUAUGGAGGAACACCAGUGGCGAAGGCGACUUUCUGGUCUGUAACUGACGCUGAUGUGCGAAAGCGUGGGGAUCAAACAGGAUUAGAUACCCUGGUAGUCCACGCCGUAAACGAUGAGUGCUAAGUGUUAGGGGGUUUCCGCCCCUUAGUGCUGCAGCUAACGCAUUAAGCACUCCGCCUGGGGAGUACGACCGCAAGGUUGAAACUCAGAG